rnacentral:tRNA from 1 species
GGGGCAAUAGCUCAGUUGGGAGAGCGACUGCUUUGCACGCAGUAGGUCUGGGGUUCGAAUCCCCAUUGCUCCACCA